GCCAGAGUGGUAUAGUGGUUUGAGUGUUAGACUAGGACUCCAGGAGACUAGAGUUCAAAUCCCUGCUCAGCCA
rnacentral:tRNA from 1 species